UUAUUAUGAGAGUUUGAUCCUGGCUCAGGACGAACGCUGGCGGCGUGCCUAAUACAUGCAAGUCGAACGCUUCUUUCCUCCCGAGUGCUUGCACUCAAUUGGAAAGAGGAGUGGCGGACGGGUGAGUAACACGUGGGUAACCUACCCAUCAGAGGGGGAUAACACUUGGAAACAGGUGCUAAUACCGCAUAACAGUUUAUGCCG
rnacentral:rRNA from 1 species